rnacentral:rRNA from 1 species
GGAGUAUGGGCCGUGUCUCAGUCCCAUUGUGGCCGGUCACCCUCUCAGGUCGGCUACACAUCCUCGCCUUGGUGGGCUGUUAUCUCACCAACUAGCUAAUGUGCCGCAGGUCCAUCUAAGAGUGGUGCAAACGCACCUUUCAAGCGGAAAUCAUGCGAUCUCCGUUGUUAUCCGGUAUUAGCCGAAGUUUCCCUCGGGUAUCCCAGUCUCAAAGGCAGGUUACCUACGCGUUACUCACCCGUCCGCCACUAAGUAUACUCAAGCUUCGACCGAAAUCUCUGCAGCGAAUAUACUCCGUUCGACUUGCAUGUGUUAGGCACGCCGCCAGCGUUCAUC